CCCUUAGAUGUUCGGGGCCGCACGCGCGCUACACUGAAGGAAUCAGCACGUCUUUCUCCUUGUCCGAAAGGACUGGGUAACCCGCUGAACCUCCUUCGUGCUAGGGAUUGGGGCUUGUAAUUCUUCCCCAUGAACGAGGAAUUCCCAGUAAGCGCGAGUCAUAAGCUCGCGUUGAUUACGUCCCUGCCCUUUGUACACACCGCCCGUCGCUACUACCGAUUGAACGUUUUAGUGAGCUCCUCGGAUUGUCAGCCUGGCGGUUAAUCCUGCCUGGCUAGCGAAAAGACGAGCAAACUUGAGCGUUUAGAGGAAGUAAAAGUCGUAACA
rnacentral:rRNA from 1 species